rnacentral:lncRNA from 1 species
UUUUCUUGUAAAAUAUUUUAUAUAAAUUAUUAUAGUGUCCCAAUCCCUGUAUUGACACAAAAGCCCCUCUAUUUAUUUUAUACCUGCAAAGUUUACGUUUCGUAUGAAACUUCCGAUCCAUUCACUGACUGCCCAAACCCCACAAAUAUGCCUAAGCCGUACAUUAUCCACACUGCAAGACAUAGUAACUAGGAUGGGACGCCAGGCAUUUAGCAUUUGAUGAAAAUGGAAGUUGGGUCAGCAGCGCAGGUCAACCUUAAUAGUUAAUCCAGAAACACUAAAGUAGAACAAAAGCACCAUAAAUGAAUGUUAAAAGUUAAACACAGGCAUCCAGAAUGACCAAAAAAAGCAACCCAGGCAGCCAGAAUUAAAUAUCACAAGAAACAUCAAAGUAGCAUAUCCAUUGGUACAAAAUUUACUUUUGCCAGCAUGAAUUAUUGAUACAACAGACUGUAAUCAUGCUUAUUAUUCUUCCCUCCACUUCCACUACCAGAUUCUCGACCUUCCAUAACUCAUGAAAUGAUAUAUCCAUCAAAGUACUUAAGUGACUCUCCACCAUUAAUAAUGAAACCUUUCAUAAUUUACCCGGAUCUAAUUCUUGUUUUUAACAGUUUAAUGUCCUCAAACUUUUAAACCCACCAAUACAUUCUCGUUUCAAUGUUGACUAACCUGACCUUUUACGCCUUGUGGAAGUAAAUCACAUAAUAGGAUCAUUUCUAUGGAAUUUCAUAGUCAGAAACAAGCCAUCAUAACAAAAGGAUUAUAGCAAACCAUAUUCAUAGCCCCCCUUGGCUCCAGUGUUAAGUUAAUACACAAACUUUUUUAUGCCUAAAAUUAUUUUCUAACAUACAGCAUAGCAUACUCCAUAAGCAAAGAUGUCAGUGGGAAGUGACUCAUUGAUCUGGAAGAGACAACAGAGUCACUUUAUGAAAGGAACUAAGAUGGCAGCCAAAUUAUUGGCCUCAAAUAAACAUGUAUUUUUGUUUUUUAAGGAUACACGACAUUAGCUUAGUCCCUACAAAAUAUUUGAGAUGAAAUAGGUUCUUGAUAGAUAACAUGUAACAUCACAAUAAUUAUAAGACAUAACAUCACAAAAAUACUCCAUAAGCAAAGAUGUCAGUGGGAAGUGACUCAUUGAUCUGGAAGAGACAACAGAGUCACUUUAUGAAAGGAACUAAGAUGGCAGCGAAAUUAUUGGCCUCAAAUAAACAUGUAUUUUUGUUUUUCAAGGAUACACGACAUUAGCUUAGUCCCUACAAAAUAUUUGAGAUGAAAUAGGUUCUUGAUAGAUAACAUGUAACAUCACAAUAAUUAUAAGAC